AAGUAAAAGUCGUAACAAGGUUUCCGUAGGUGGAGGUUUGCCUACUGAAGCCCGUAGCCAGCGACUCUAAAAAAAUCAGCUAUAGUCGCCCCUCCGGGGGUUGGCGACGCCAUCAAUCUGUGUCUGGGAGCGCUUCCCCCCUUGGGGGAGUACUACCAGCAGCUCGUUGUAUGCGAGUUCACAGGUCAAACGAUAGCGGCCACUUCGGUGGUUGAGAUAUGAUCGGCCUCCAGCUGUUACCCGGUUGGGGAGAUUUAGCGGAACCUGCGGAAGGAUCAUUAAUGAGUUUGGGGGCCUAGCCCCCAGCGGUGGGUGUCUGUCCGAGUCCCUAGGGCUCGGCCAGCGCUCGUCGUGUAUCUCAAACCCCAUGUUUACCAUACCUUAGUUGCUUUGGCGGGCCUUGAGUAGGCUAUACGGCUCAUGCCGGCCCCCAGCAGAAAAUGCUGGGGGGCGGCUCGCGCCCGCCAGAGGUUCAAUCAAUUCUAUUAUUAGUGAAGUCUGAGUAAAUAUCAAAUAAUCAAAACUUUCAACAACGGAUCUCUUGGUUCUGGCAUCGAUGAAGAACGCAGCGAAAUGCGAUAAGUAAUGUGAAUUGCAGAAUUCAGUGAAUCAUCGAAUCUUUGAACGCACAUUGCGCCCCUCGGUAUUCCGGGGGGCAUGCCUGUUCGAGCGUCAUUACACCCCUCAAGCGUAGCUUGGUAUUGGUCGUUCGCGGGCCCUCUUCGGGGGGCCUGCGCGUCCGAAAAGCAGUGGCGGUCCCCGGGGAUUUCGCGCGUAGUAAAUAUUAUCCCGCGUUGGAAAGAACCGAUGGGUCCUGCCAAAACCCCUUAUAAAUCUCCAUGAUUGACCUCG
rnacentral:rRNA from 1 species